UAACACGUGGGCAAUCUGCCCUUCACUCUGGGACAAGCCCUGGAAACGGGGUCUAAUACCGGAUAACACUCUGUCCCGCAUGGGACGGGGUUGAAAGCUCCGGCGGUGAAGGAUGAGCCCGCGGCCUAUCAGCUUGUUGGUGGGGUAAUGGCCUACCAAGGCGACGACGGGUAGCCGGCCUGAGAGGGCGACCGGCCACACUGGGACUGAGACACGGCCCAGACUCCUACGGGAGGCAGCAGUGGGGAAUAUUGCACAAUGGGCGAAAGCCUGAUGCAGCGACGCCGCGUGAGGGAUGACGGCCUUCGGGUUGUAAACCUCUUUCAGCAGGGAAGAAGCGAAAGUGACGGUACCUGCAGAAGAAGCGCCGGCUAACUACGUGCCAGCAGCCGCGGUAAUACGUAGGGCGCAAGCGUUGUCCGGAAUUAUUGGGCGUAAAGAGCUCGUAGGCGGCUUGUCACGUCGGAUGUGAAAGCCCGGGGCUUAACCCCGGGUCUGCAUUCGAUACGGGCUAGCUAGAGUGUGGUAGGGGAGAUCGGAAUUCCUGGUGUAGCGGUGAAAUGCGCAGAUAUCAGGAGGAACACCGGUGGCGAAGGCGGAUCUCUGGGCCAUUACUGACGCUGAGGAGCGAAAGCGUGGGGAGCGAACAGGAUUAGAUACCCUGGUAGUCCACGCCGUAAACGUUGGGAACUAGGUGUUGGCGACAUUCCACGUCGUCGGUGCCGCAGCUAACGCAUUAAGUUCCCCGCCUGGGGAGUACGGCCGCAAGGCUAAAACUCAAAGGAAUUGACGGGGGCCCGC
rnacentral:rRNA from 1 species